GUGGCGAACGGGUGAGUAACACGUGAGUAACCUGCCCCAGACUCCGGGAUAAGCCUUGGAAACGAGGUCUAAUACUGGAUAUGAGAUGCCCCUGCAUGGGGAGUGUCUGGAAAGAUUUAUCGGUCUGGGAUGGACUCGCGGCCUAUCAGCUUGUUGGUGGGGUAAUGGCCCACCAAGGCGACGACGGGUAGCCGGCCUGAGAGGGCGACCGGCCACACUGGGACUGAGACACGGCCCAGACUCCUACGGGAGGCAGCAGUGGGGAAUAUUGCACAAUGGGCGAAAGCCUGAUGCAGCGACGCCGCGUGAGGGAUGAAGGCCUUCGGGUUGUAAACCUCUUUCAGCAGGGAAGAAGCGCAAGUGACGGUACCUGCAGAAGAAGCGCCGGCUAACUACGUGCCAGCAGCCGCGGUAAUACGUAGGGCGCAAGCGUUGUCCGGAAUUAUUGGGCGUAAAGAGCUCGUAGGCGGUUUGUCGCGUCUGGUGUGAAAACUCAAGGCUCAACCUUGAGCUUGCAUCGGGUACGGGCAGACUAGAGUGCGGUAGGGGUGACUGGAAUUCCUGGUGUAGCGGUGGAAU
rnacentral:rRNA from 1 species